rnacentral:lncRNA from 10 species
AGUAAAUACUUUGGGAAGAAUUUGGAAGAAAAGUGACCUGGCCUCCCUGUUGGUAGUUUUUCCUUUAGCUGGUGAAAGCUCCUUAAAGGGCCUGGAUGGGCUGUUCCAGAAGACACUUACAAAUGUAAACAGAGACAAAUGCCCACAGCCCAUGCACACCUGUUUCUCCCUGUUAAUACUUAACAGUUAGUAGCUGUUAAGUAUUUGAUUAUUCCUUUCCUACAAAAAAGCAUUUCAAACCCAAAGGGAAUAUGGCUCAUUUAUUUGCUGAGUGGGACUGGAGGCCCAUAGCCGCAGAAGAUCCUGGCCCCACAGCAGCAGAGAGCAAGCUCAGAGUGCUGUCAGGUCUCUCCUGCUGCCUCUCGCCAUGAUGAUGUAGUGGAAAAAUGGUCAACAAAGCUAUUUCCUACUGUGUGCUAAAUGCCCAUCAUGGGAAGUCCCAGGAACAAGAAGAUCAUGGGUGAGGCAGCUGCUCAGAAACAAAUGUCUUUCAACAAUUACCCCCAGGCAUGGGAAGAGGAGACUAGGACACGGACACACAUCGAGAAAGAUCAUGGGAAGACACAGAGAGAAGGCAGCCGUCUGUAAGCCAAGGAGAGAGGCCUCACAAGAAACCAACCCUGCUGACACCUUAAUCUCAGGCUUCUGGACUCACGAAUUGUGAAAAAAAAAAAAUUAAUUUCUGUUGUUUAAACCACACAGUCUGUGGAAUUUUAUUAUGGCAACCCUAAAAACUAAUACAUG